UACAGAGGUCUCAACCGUUGUUCGGAUUCAUUGGGCGUAAAGGGUGCGUAGGUGGUCGCGUAAGUCGGAUGUGAAAUCUCGGGGCUCAACCCUGAAACUGCAUUCGAUACUGCGUGGCUAGGGUACUGGAGAGGAGACUGGAAUUUACGGUGUAGCAGUGAAAUGCGUAGAUAUCGUAAGGAAGACCAGUGGCGAAGGCGAGUCUCUGGACAGUUACCGACACUGAGGCACGAAGGCCAGGGGAGCAAACGGG
rnacentral:rRNA from 1 species